GACCUUGAAGCCAGAUGGAUGGACAGACAGGACAGACAGCUGCUGUCUCUGGACCAUCACAGAAGUGCUAACUGCUGGGCCCUGUGGUGCACAGUUCAAGAGGACCCUAACAUCUGCUCUGCACUGUCACAUGGGCUUGGUCUCCUUAUCUCCACCAACUGCACCUCUGCGCAGAGGACAGGAAGGGGCCAAGCAGGUAACCAGAGCACGUGACUAUUUAGUAAAACCUCAGAGCUGCAUUACCAGGGGUGUCCACUCACUCAGGGCUCUGGAGCCCAGGUGGUAGGGUGGCAGGGCCAUAAACUGUUUAUGGGUCUCCAAAACGUGACACAUCAAGUUGACCUCACCUACUCGCCUUCAUUCUUCUCCAUGGAGUCCCUCUCUGGCUCCUUUGGUGUCCUGCCCCCACGUCCCUUUGGCCCGAAGGUUCCCAAAUGGUGUGGAAAAUACAAUUCUCCGUGGAGUUUUCCUCCUGGCGACAGGGUACUUCAUAAUUAAUGGAACUGCCCAGACGUGAAGGUUACCUUGACCUUGUCUGCGCCAUAAAUAUAACUGGAGCAAGGCUCAGAGAGCAGCAUUCAGGAAAGCAAAUUGCUUUCAUCUUUGUUAUUUUUAAUCUCAUCUUCGUUUUGCUUCGCUGUAGUAUCAGAACACUUUAACGAAGGAAAACCUAACCUCUAGUCUCAAUCCCAAGGUUAGCUCCCGUGAUGUCUGCUCUGGUCUCCCACUGUGUCCACCUUCCUUUAUUGCGAGGGAGGGCACAUGAGUCCCUGUGGCUCAGCCGGGAGGUGGCCAUGGGACCUGCAGACGCCUCUCUGCAUCCAGGCGCUUCCCAUAAUGAAGGCUUAGUUCCAUUAAAAGUUAUUUUGGGGAUUCCACAAGCCCACCACCACCACCACCCCCAAAGUGGAAAUUUUAUGUCAGGGAGUCAAAAAAAAAAAAAAAAAAAAAAA
rnacentral:lncRNA from 1 species